AAUCAACGCUGGCGGCGUGCCUAACACAUGCAAGUCGAACGAGAAAGUGGAGCAAUCCAUGAGUACAGUGGCGUACGGGUGAGUAACACGUGACUACCUACCCUCGAGUGGGGAAUAACCUCGGGAAACCGGGGCUAAUACCGCAUAACAUCUACGGAUCAAAUGCGUAAGCAGCUUGAGGAGGGGGUCGCGGCCGAUCAGCUAGUUGGUGAGGUAAUGGCCCACCAAGGCAUCGACGGGUAGCUGGUCUGAGAGGAUGGCCAGCCACAUUGGGACUGAGAGACGGCCCAGACUCCUACGGGAGGCAGCAGUGGGGAAUCUUGCGCAAUGGCCGAAAGGCUGACGCAGCGAUGCCGCGUGUGGGAUGAAGCAUUUCGGUGUGUAAACCACUGUUGCCCGGGACGAACAUCCUCUUUCGAGAGGACUGACGGUACC
rnacentral:rRNA from 1 species